UUUUUUUUUUUUUUUUUUCUGUUGAAACGUGACAGAGUAUACGGAAUUCUCGUAGGGGAACAGAGAAGAGGUCCUUGCGCGUAUACCAAGUGCAACGAGAUUCUUAUAGUGUAGAAAUAUAUACCCAAGCCAGUUUAAAACAUUGUAUUAACAUGGCUAUUCGAUCGACUCCCUCCCACCAAAAAGGGUAUCGGAUCUCCGAUUACACAUUCAAAACCCUUGUUGUAUCGUUACGUUACCUUAUACGUAUAAUAUUAUUUAUCGACAAUGAUCAUACUACUGACCUACGAAAUUCUCGUUUGGACGAAUCGAUAGGUGGACGUCGUUUUUGCACUUGUACUUUGUCUCGCGUUUUUGAUGCUCGUAUCGUCCGAAAAACUAUGCGAAAAAAGUGCAAGGUACGUGAUAAUGUUAUUAUCGGUUCGUACGAGGACUUUGGCCAGCGGUAAAAAUAUCGUUUGAGUAUUUUAUGUUUUAUACACAUUAUAUACCGCGAGAUAAUUACGCGUAAAAACAAAUCGAUGAAACGCGAGGUGUCGGCGACGGGGAGGGGGAUGGGGUGAUGUAAUUCCAAAAAGAUCGUCAUUCAGACACUGCAGUAUGCAGAGCAUCAUCGCGAUAACUAUAGAUUGUGCAAUAUUAUGCGGUUUCCUCUUUCGUUUCAGAAACACCCUGUAUAUACAUAUAUCGUGAAUGCUUUCAUAAAUAUAAUUGUGCAUG